CUCUGAGAGAGCCUGUCUUUGAAGGUGUAACGAUAGAUGGGGCUCCAUCUAACAAGCUGAGUGAGAAACCAGUAGAAACUGAACAACAACUCAGAUAGAAACAAUCCCAUCCAAGCCCAUCUUCUUAGCACUUGUGCGCCUGCAGGUGGGAAGUGAACCACCCUGUAAACCCAGAUAAAAAUAAUACCCACAAACACUGAUGCUGCAUAACAUCUGAAUAGGAUACGACCCUUUGCAACCUUGGUUUCAAAGAGAGGAAGAUAGCCAUCUCUGCCCAUUUCUACACUGCCUCUCUCUCCAUUCAUUUCCAUGACCUUAUAGAGUCACAUGACCCUUUUGUUUUUUUGUCAGUGGAUUAUUGGAAGGAUACCAUUGGAGGCCUUUUUUCGAAAUUUACAGUCCUUGUAUGCUAUACUUUGUCACCAUAUGAGUGGGUAACAUUGGGUGGCCAGGCCAAAGGAUGGUUUUAUUUUUUAAAUAUUUUGAACACAUUUAAAAAUCAAAGAAUUUUGAUCUAUGGAAAUUAAAGACUAGUUGGUGUUAGUCUUUGAACGAAAGAGUACUUUGCAGUAUCAUAUUAAAUUCGUUUGUCUAAUAUCAUUUCAAAUCAUGUAAGGUAACAUGGCGACUAAGUUGUUAUUAAAAAAUGCUUUCACGCAUAUGAAAAAUAUAACUACACCAACACAAAAACAAUAUAAAAAAGAUUAGGGUGAAGUAUAUAUGAUUAAAGAUAUAAUGUACUAAAGCAGUAAGAAUGUUGUCAUAUUCCUAGUAAGGACAAGUUGGUCUUGAAAUUUUGUCUCAAAAAAUCUCCUGUCACCUUCAAAACGUAAGAGAAGGUCCACAAUCUCUUUCAAAGUUAUAAAUGACUUUUUUAAAACACAACUAAUAUAGAUCAAGAUAAGAAUAAAUGUCUCUUUCACAAUGCUAUUGGAAAGUAUUUUUAAUAUCAAAUUAAAAAAAAAUAUUUUUUUAAAAUUGAAUAUUUGGUAAAUUUUUAAAAAUAUUUUUAAAAAUUUUAAAAAUCAUUUGAAAUAUUUUUUAAAGAAAUAUAUGAUAGAUGGUUCUUUUAAAAAAAAAUAUUUUUUAAUGAAAUUUUAAAAAAUAUUUUUAAGAAGUUGAAAAAUUUCUUAUAGUGCUUUUUGAAGAAGUAUUUGAUAGAAAUGGAAAUAUAGAGAAAUAGUAAUAUAGUAUGAUGUAAUAAGAUGUAAAAAAAAAGAGUAAAGUAAUUGGACAAUGUAAAGUCUUACAUAUUCAAAAGUGAGAUUUUGUGGAAAAAUAUUAGUUUGCAAUAGAAAAUAAGGGCAAAAAUAAUGAUGUUGAAUGUGUAAUGUACAGUGAAUAAGGAAUGAUAGAUAAAUAGAAUUUGUGAAAAAAAAAAAAAGAACAAGAAAAAAAUUAAGGAUAUGUGGUUGGACAAGGAAUUGAUGUUUUGAUGUUGUAUGGUAAAGGAGGAAAACAAAAUUUAAAUAUAGAAUUAGUUAUUAUAAGGAUUAAUUAAUAAUAAGGGAUAUAACUUUUUUAUUUUUUAUUUUAUUUUAUGAUACAUCAUAAUGUCAGAUUUGUAUUAAUGAGAUUUAUUUUAUUUCAUUUUAUUUGUCGAAACGAAUUUAUAAUUUAAUCAAUUUAUGCUAUAAUAUUUAGUCCUUAGCAAGUUGUAGAAGAAUUGAAAAAGGUGAACGGGAGUGGUCAUUAACCUAAUGAUAUCAGUUGAUUGACUUAAUUCUCUUUUAAUUUGAAAACAUGUUUAUCAAAAUCCCAUUAGUUUAUGCAAAUUUGUUUAUAUUUUGUAAGCUGAAAUUUCCAUGACAUUUUAUGUCCUUUUUUUUCUUUGUUUUUACCAAAAAGCUCAUCACCUCUACUUUUGAAAUGCCCCUUCUGACUGCGUUUUGGUCCCUUGAAUGUGGAUAAUAAGUCACAUCAUGAGUAGGAAGGCAUCUCAUUAGUUUGUCAUUAGCAACUUCGUGAGUAGGAAGGAAUCUCAUUAGUUUAUCAUUUGUUUAGGGAUGAUAAUAGGAUUGGUUUUUUUAGUACCCGUUCAGCAUAUAAUGGGGUGAGGUUUAAUUUUAAUAAAUGAAUUUGGGACGAGUUUAAGAAUUUUUUUUUUAAAACUCGCGACAGGUUCAGGUAUUGCCUCGUAUCGCCAAAUUAUAUAUAAAAUUAAUUAAUUUAAAAUUUAAAAUUAAUUUAAUUUAAUUUUUAUUUUACUAUUUUUAAUAUAUAAAUAAUAAUUCUUGGGGAGGACUUUAAUAGGCUUAAAUACUAAAACUGCCCUUCAACUAAAACUUUCAACUAAAACUUUUAAAAUUCAAAGUAUUUAAAGCACUUCACUUGAUUUGUUAGGACAUUUAUGGUGCAUAGGUUCCACAUUUAUUGUAAUUAUUGAUAUUCAAAUUUUAAAUCAAAAUUUUGGUUUAACCCUUACAAUUAUAUAUAAUUUGUUAUUUAAAUUUACCGUUUAAAACAAAAAUAUUUUCAAAAUUGUUUUUUUUUUACAUUUUUUUUUAUUUUUAUUCUAUUUUUUAAUUUUAAUUAAGAAAAAAGAUAAGUUUUAUAAUUAUAUAGUAAAAAUGAUGAUUUUUUCAUAUAUAUAUAUAUAUAUAUAUAUAUAUAUAGAUUAAUUUUAAAUUGAUAAAUUAUGUUUUUGUAUUAAAUUCAAAGAAGAUAAAAUGUUUAAUUUUUCAUUCAUAUUAUUUAAAAAUAAUAAGAAAAUGAUGGAGAAUGUUUAAUCAUUUUUUAUUUUUAUAAUAAAAUAAUUAAAAAAAAAUUGUAGUGUUUUUUUUCCUUUGCAUAGUGUUUUUUUUUUUCCUCAAUGCAUCAAGUGGAUGAUGUUAAUAUAUUUGAUAUGUUGAAUAUUAAUAAGGUAUAAAAAGUGAUUUUAAAGAUUAUUACUUUUAUUAUAAAAUACAAGUACAACAAAAAUAUGUUAUAAUUACAAUAUAAAUACACUUGCAUUACAAUAAACCUAAUUAGGAAAUUUUUGAAAUUUUUUAUAAAAAUGAUAAUUUUGUAUAAUCAUACCAUAUUUCACAAAAUACUUAUAUCAUAAAUAAUUUCUAAAACCAAAUGAAAUACUAAUUUGAAUUCACUCGUAGUUUUUUUUUUAAUAAACAAAAAUUAUUAAAUAAUUUUAAUGCACUAUAUGAAUGUUGUUAAUAUAUUGAUACGAUGUGUUAAUACCAAUAGGGUAUGAAAAAAUAGUUUUAGAAUUAUUAUUUUUGUAAUGAAAUAUAGUUAGGACAUAAAUGCAUUAUAUUUACAAUAUAAAUACACUAUCAUUACAAUAUAUUACAACAUAAUUUAAUUUAUUUUUGUUUAAUUUUUUCACAUGUUAUAUUACCCAAUGUAUAAUUGUGAGUUAUUAUAUUUAAUAGUUGUGUGUUAGUCAAUUGAAUAUUUAUAUAUUAUUCAAUUGACAAGUGCUUGUAAAAAAUAAUUAUUCAUUCUAUUAUGGUAACAAAGUUUUUAAUUGUAUGUUCUAUUAAUAAAAUGAUAUAAUAAUAUUAGGAUAUGAUUUUUAUUUAUGAGAUAUUGAAAAUUAUUUUUUUUACAAGAUUCUUUAAAAAAUCUCAAUUUUUUUUGAAAAAAAGAAAAGAAAAAAUAACAAAUUUUAAACAGUCACUUGAUUGUUUAAAAGUGAACAACAAUUUUUUCAAGUCUGAAAAAUGUACUGUAUUUAUCAUCAUGUAUGAGCCUCAUAUCAUAUAAUCUCAAAUUUAUUUAUAAAUAAUAUAGAAAACAUAUUCAAGGAUAAAAUUCUCUUCUAACAAUCUUUAAGAUAAGUGAGCUUUUCUAGUAAUUAUUCUUUCUAACCUACCUAUCGGGUAACUCUCCCAAAAUUAUACACACAAAUUCCUUGACGUGAAAUAGUAGGCAUUUGAUGGCGACAUUUGACAAUUCCCUUUCCACUGCCAAACUUCGGCAGCAGUGUUUCCGAAACGUGCAUGGUGGUGGUAGACGAGUGCUUGAUGGAGGAAAUUUGGAGGUUCCUGCCUUCCUGGUUGUGGAGCUCAUUUCAGCAUAUGGGCUUGCACCGAUUUCUAGAUCAAGGUCUCAUCUGACGGUCAAGUUCAAACGCAGAAAAGAAAAGAACAUAGAAGAGAGGUUUUGGGAGGGUUAGUCACCUCUUUUCCAAUAAAAGAUCUAAAGCCACCAAUAAAAAAACCAAGCCACUUCAUAAUUUCGAACAUAAAAGAUUGCCUUCUUACUUAAGAUUUUGAAAAUUGAGGUUACCGUAUGAUUGUACAUGAAAAAAAAAACGAUGUUCAUAAAUAUCCUUUGUAACAAAAUAAUAAGUGAUUUAUUUUUUAAAAAUAAAUAAAUAAAUAAAUAAUCAAUUUUAUAAAUAAAUAUCUAAUUUCCUAUAAAUCAAAAGUUCUGCAAAGCGUUACAUAAUAUACAUAGAGAGGUGUGGUGAAGAGACGCUUGGCUUACUGAUACAAAGCUAUUGAGCAGGCCAAUAGUACUAAAGCAACCGAUUUGUACGUGACAGAGGUUGGCAUGGCGCCCUUGUCCUUGCGGAAGAAAAGCCCUUGGUAUACAGGCAGGUUGAUGAGAACAACGACCCCACAUAAGAUACCCUGCAGUGCUAAUGACUCCAAAGCUUUGAUUUGAAUACCCACAAACACCCUCUUUACACAACAAACAAAACUGAACAGAUUGAGCAUUGCUAGUGUGGCUAUAAUGGUAAGCAUUGGUGAAGGAGAGCCGAACUCCAUAACUUCUUGCUCGUAUCUUCGAGACACAUCUUCAUCAGACACCUUUGCAGUGACUGCAAAAGUGGUCUCAGCAAACCCUAGUAGCUUCAAGAUUGUAUCAAGGAGGACAAAGAAAUAGGAAGUUGUCCUUCUCAACGCCCAUAUCCUCUGUUCAUUCCACCAACCUUGGGUUGUGCCACCAAACCAAAGAACUCGCCUAAGCUGUAUGCAUACUUGGCAAUGAUGACAUAGGCAAAGGGCAGUGCCCACAGGCUUGAUAUAUGAAAGGGGUAUAAUUCUUAAUAAUAAUGAUGAGUUUGGGAUUAAUUUGCUUUAGUAAUGUUAAAUUCAUUCCUCUGGAAACAAGGAGAUGCCUCCAAGUAGACAGAGGGAUGGGACAGCGACAUAGUAUAGUGUAGGCAAGCAGUUUGGAGCCCAGAGCAGCUAAGGACAAUAUGAGAAUUGAAGCUCUAGAGGAAUCCUUUUAUGCUCAUAUAGGAGGGGGCAGUACCUUGAGAGAAAGAUCUGGAAGUUGCCUUCAGACCAUCUCUUGUGUUGUAUUAAUGACUGCAAUAGUGUUGUAGGGGCAACACCUACAAAGCCUUUCCUUUCUGGGCUGAAACUGAUGGAUUUCCAACCUCUGCAUUGUAUUGAUAAUCCUGUAAUUAUAUCUUCCACUAAACAACCAUACUUCAAACCCAUCUGCAAGUCAACAUAAGCAUGAAGUUUCUUACUCGAAGAAAGAAGAAAAAGGAAAAAAAUAAAACGAUGGCAUUGAUGAGACAAAUAGAGGAACCUCUUUUCCCCAUUGGGUGUUCUCUACAUAGCUGUUGAAUUUUUAAUUUUGCCUUAGUAUCGGCUGGAAUUUGAAUUUUAAAGUUAGAUAUUGCAACUGGAGUCUUGCACAAAAUUUGCAACAUCCAAAUAUUUUCUUGUUUUUAUUUGAUCAAGAUUUGGUUUCUAUUUUAUAGGAAGUAGUUGUUCAUCAUCUAGUAGUUUGAUUUUCUACUAUUCUAAUGUCAUUUCAGUUACAAGCUCAUAUAUAAAUUCAACACUCUUCAUCAAUAAAAAGUGUGUUCCAAUAGCCUAAAAAUAAAUAUCCUGCAUAAGUGUUUAAUCUAAGAUCAUCAUUUUGGUAUCAGAGCAGAAAUUAUCUUGAGGGACCAGUGAGUUGAGUGAGCUAGAAGUUAUCUUGAGGGGUUAGUGAGUUGAGUGAGCCUGAAUACCUUGAGAGUGCCUAAACUCCUAUAGACCCUUGAGGUGAGUGAACCCAAAACACCAUGAGUGAACCCAAACACCUUCUAAAAUCAUCUAGCAAUAGAGAAGUCAAGUCUCACAACUGCACCAUCAAUUCUUGAUGGAGACAAUUAUGAAACUUGGGAUGUUAGAAUGAUAGUUCAUUUACAAGCACUUGAUGUUUGGGAAGCAGUGAAAGAAAAUUAUGAAGUUCCUCUCUUGGGAGCCAAUCCAACUGUGGCUCAAAUGAAGUUGCAUAAAGAAAGAAAGACAAGAAAGACUAAAGCGAAGGCUUGCUUGUUUGCUGCAGUUUCAUCAUCAAUUCUCAUCAAAAUCAUGAAAAUUGAUUUAGUUGCAAAAAUUUGGGAGUAUCUCAAGGAGGAAUACAAAGGAGAUGAAAUAAUCAAUAACAUGUAGGUGAUGAACUUGAUUCGAGAAUUUGAAAUAAAGAAAAUGAGGGAGUCUGAUGCUGUUAAAGACUAUGCUACACAACUUCUUUCACUAGCAUACAAAGUUAGGUUGCUUGGAAAAGAAUUUUCCAAUGAGAAGAUUGUUCAAAAGAUAUUGGUUACACUUCCUGAGAAAUAUGAAGUUACAAUUUCCUCUUUGGAGAAUUCAAAGUGAUAAAACAAAGGUUAUGAAUAAUUAAGGAAAAUACCCAAAAUGGGGGGUGAAUUGUAUUUUUUCAAAAUCUUUUUCCACACAAUAAUAUAUGCACAAAAUAAAUAAAGGAAAGAGAUAAAGUUAGAGAAUUCAAAUUCGGGUUUAUAGUGAUUCGGCACUCCUUUGCCUACGUCCACUCUCCUCAAUCUCCUAACCGAGUGAGGGGUCCCUAACUUGAAGCUUCAAUCAAGCUUUCAAUCUUCUUACACUUGGAUUCCGGCUCCAAUGGGCUCUUACACAAUCUCUUCAAGAUUUGAACCACUUAAAGACUUUCACACUCAGUUUACACAAAGAUGAAACUCUCAACCUAGCUUAAGGAUGACUCAAGUACAAGAGAAAGCUAGGAUGAUUUACAAGAGUGCACUAAGAAUAUGCAAGUGAUGGUUUAAUGCACUAAGAAAGAAAUGAGAGCUUUUUGAUCAAGAAUAGGUAGGUAGACAAUUGAUUGUAAAGGUUCUCUUAGUCAUAAAUGAAGUGGAGCUCUCAAUUUAUAGGUUUCUAAGCUCGGAAGACAAAAACAACAGAAAGUAGCCUCGACCGGACGAGCAAAGGGUCGACCGGUUCACUAGCCGUUGGAGCAUUUAAUGCAUGAUAGGUUACCGUUGCCUCAACCGGACCUCGACCGGUCCUCGACCGGUAAAGGAAUCACCUCGACCGGGAAGAGAAGGCUACUGGGAGAGAGAGAAGGUUUUUAACCUUCCUCGACCGGUCCUCGACUGGACGACCUAAAUCGAUCGACUGGUUCCUUAACCGGUUGACCGAUUGGCCUUAGCCUCGACCGGUUGAGCCUUUUGGCUCCGAAAACCUAUCAUUUUUUAUUUCUUUCUUUUCCAAUACUUAAGCAAGGUCUUUAGGUCAGUUAAUAUGCCAAUUUUGAAUCAAUUUGCCUAAGGUAUAUUUAAUAAAACUCGGGUUUUAAAGAAAAUCAAGUUUUAAAGAAUAAACCGAGUUUUCUAAGAUGCAUGAAAAGGUAUGAACAUCCUAAGUGCACUCAUGCUAUCAUCUUACAUUCAUUUCCUAUGAUCUCAAGUCUUCUAAGCGUCUCGAUCUUGUAUCCAUUUGGUCCUUUGAUGAAUUUUCGAGUUUACACCUGAGAUUCUUAAACAUUAAACCAAUUAGUUAUUUAACCAUGGUUUGUUAUCAUCAAAACCCGAUUAGGAGAACCCUUGGGCUAACACAAAGGAUCUGUCAACUAUUAGCUUGAUAGAAUUAUUACAUUCAUUGGAGGCUGUAGAACAAAUAAGACUCAUGAGACAAGGAGAUACUAUAGAAGGAGCAUUUCAAGCAAGAAUGCAAAAAAAUGCAGGCCAUAAAAAUGGAAAGAAGAACAAGAAGAAGAAGAACAAGCCAAACAACAACAACCAGAAAAAUGGAGUUUUUCCACCUUGUCCUCAUUGCAAGAAAACAAAUCAUUCUCCACAAAAAUGUUGGUGGAGACCAGAUGUGAAAUGCAACAAGUGUGGUAAACAAUGGCGUGUGGAGAGGAUUUUCAAAAAUCAACAACAGGAAGAAACUAGUGCAACAGUUGACCAAUGCCUAGAGGAGCAAUUGUUUGCGAAAACGUGUUUUGCUAAUAAAAGCACCUCUAAAAGCUGGCUUAUGGAUAGUGGUUGUACAAACCACAUGACUAAUGAUCAAGAUCUUUUAAGAAAACUUGUUAGAACAACUAUUUCCAAAGUCAGAAUUGGAAAUGGUGAGUAUAUUCCAGUGAAGGGCAAAUGAAUGGUUGCUAUCGAAAGCCAAAUAAGUUUGAAACUCAUUUAUGAUGUUUUGUUUGUGCCUGACAUUGACCAAAACUUACUCAGUGUUGGACAACUUGUUGAGAAAGGAUUUAAAGUUUAUUUUGAAGAUAGGAAUUGCAUUAUCAAGGAUGCUGAAGGCAAAAAGGUGUUUAACAUAAAAAUGAAGGGCAAGAGCUUUGCCUUGAAUUUACUGAAAGAUGAGCAUGCUGCUUGUUUUGCAACAAGAUAGUACAACAAUGCUUUGGCACAGAAGGCUCGGGCACUUUCAUCAUGAUGUUGUGCUCUACAUGAAGAAAAAUCAAAUAGCUGAAGGACUUCUUGACUUAGAAAAAGAUCUUCCUAUAUGUGCUAUUUGUCAAUUUGGGAAGCAAACUAAACUUCAUUUUCCAAAGAAAACAUCCUAGAGAGCAACCCAAAACUACAACUGGUGCAUACUGAUGUUGGUGGACCUCAAAAGACGUCAUUCUUGAAAGGAAGCAUUGUUCACCAACUCACUGCACCAUAUAAUCCAUAACAAAAAGGAGUCGUGGAGAGGAAAAAUAGAACGAUUUUGGAGAUGACAAUAUGCCUUGUGCAUGAAAAAAAUCUGCCUAAAAUUUUUUGUGCUGAAGUUGCAAGUACAACAAUAUAUUUGUUGAACAAAUUGCCAACAAAAACGUUAAAAAAGCAGACCCCUUUCAAAGCUUGGUUUGGUUAUCAACCUAAAGUAAUGAAAUUGAAAACAUUCGGUUACUUAUGUUUCUCUUUUGUUCCUAAGGUGAAAAGGGACAAGCUAGAUAAACAAUUAGAGAUGAGAAUUUUCGUCGGAUACAGUGACACUUCAAAGGCUUAUAGAAUUUACUUGCCACAAACUAAUAAAAUUGUGGUGAGUAGAGAUGUCAAGUUUUUGAAAACAAAGAAAUGAAGUUGGGAUGAAAAGAUGCAGCAGUAUAAUGAUGAAAAUGUUGACGAGCUUCCAGUUAGAGGUACCCGAAAACUCUUUGAUAUUUACUGUUAUGUUGCUACUACUGCUGCUGUAAAUCAAGUUUUAUGACUUAGGAAGUUGCUGACAGAUUUGGACAUGAAGCAAGAAAUGAGUACUCAAGUGUUUGUUGACAACCAAGCUGCUAUAUCUAUUGCCAAUGACCCAGUUUUUCAUGGCAAAACAAAGUACUUCAAGAUUAAACUAUACUUUCUAAGAGAGGUGCAGAAGGAAGGAGAUGCACAUAUAGUUUAUUGCAACACGGAGAGUCAAAAUGUUGAUAUAUUCACUAAACCUCUACCUAAAGCAAGGUUUGAGUUUCUACGUGGAAGACUUGGAGUUUGCAUCUACUAAGUCAAGGAGGAGUGUUGAAUUUUGAAUUUUGCCUUAGUAUCUGCUAGAAUUUGAAUUUUGAAGUUAAAUAUUGCAGCUGGAGUCUUGCACAAAAUCUGUAACAUCCAAAUAUUUUCAUGUUUUUAUUUGGUCAAGAUUUGGUUUCUAUUUUAUAGGAAGUAGUUGUUCAUCAUCUAGUAGCUUGAUUUUAUGCUAUUCUAAUGUCAUUUAAGUUACAAGCUCAUGUAUAAAUUCAACACUCUUCAUCAAUAAAAAGUGUGUUCCAACAGCCCAAAAAUAUAUAUUCUUCAUAAGUGUUUAAUCUAAGAUCAUCAUUUUGGUAUCAGAAAGUUAUCUUGAGGGGCCAGUGAGUUGAGUGAGCCUGGAUACCUUGAGAGUGCCUAAACACAUAAAGAAUAGCUACAACUUGCAAGGACCUUGCACAAUGCUUCUAAUACUCUUGCACUUUCUCUUGCCGUUCUGUCGGUCUCUCUCUUCCAUUCUCUCUCACAUUCCUCGCUAUAUUUCAUUCCACACAGUGCCUUUCUCCUGUGAAAGCACCCACUACCGAUAUAGCAAGGCCCUCCAUUAGCAUCAAGUCCUGGAAGGUCCACCUUUUUCACCAAUUUGUCAUCCGACAAUAAAAUUCAUUAGGAAUCCUUGAUCUCUCUAGCCAAAAUAGUAAUGAAUACAUAGUUCUUUUCCAAUUUUGCCUACCUCAUUAAGCACCCUAAAGCAGGUGCCAUAUAAGUCAUUCGUAGUGAGAUUAUUAUAGCUCGGUGGAAACUGGACAUAAGCAAUUUCAUGGCCCUUCUCUUCAUCCAUGAAAAAGCACAAAGCAUCUCUCACCGAUUCUGAAUUGUUGGAGUACAUGUCACAGUCCACAUUAAGAAUGAUCGAACCGUUGCUUAUCUUUGAUGACACCCUUAUCUGUUCACCCAAAUCAUAAUCACCCGUAUAAAAAAUGAUGCAAUAGGCCGAGGUGCAUUGGAGGAAAGCUCAACUGAUUUUAUGGAUUUAGGAUUCAUGUGUGUAGAGGCUAGAGCAAAGUUUUACCAGUGAAUUCAUAGCUCCAGCUUUAAAAUUGUGGUGGUAUUGGGGUCUCUUCUCCCGGGACAAGUAUACUAGAGUUGGCAAGGAUUGGCCUUCAACAUCCACGGCCUUGUCCUCUCUCCCAUCAAUUAGUAUCUGUUAUUCUAUAUUAUAUUAGUGAAAGAUGAAGCUCACAAAUAUAAAUGUUUUGAUUUUCAAGCACCUGAACAAUGGACUGAUGAUUAUACUGUGUAGAGACAUGGUUCCACUCUUGAAAUCCUUUGUGCUCCUUUCUUAUUUCUUCUGAAACCCUGCCCAGUCUAGUGGUGGUUUCAAUUCUAUUCUUCAUGUCUUCAUACGAUUUCUACAAUGAGAAAACAGAGUAAGUGUUACACAGGAGCCAGAAAACCGAUAAAAGGCCUUAGUUAUAAUGGUUAAAGAUGAAAAAUUCGAGCACUGUGAGUGUAAAACUUACUGCCAAAGCUACAAAGCCUAAUGAAAAAUAAUUUGGUUAUAAUUCGUUCAUGAUAGUAGUAAUAGUGACAGACUUAAUAGAAUUCAUUUUAAGAUCAGAAUCCGAGUAUAAUCCUAAAAAAAAGGUUCAAACCUAAUCUGUGUUGUCUUUGAAUUCCAACAUGACUGUUCAUUACUUGUAAUAUAAUUUUUGAAGGAAAAAUAUCUGGAAGAAUAUGGGAAGCAAUGAUCUAAGCAUAGUGGGACCAGUAUAUGGAAGAGGGCUGAGGAUGUGACCUCUUUAUUGUCUGUAGUAGAAAACAAAUUCAAUGACAGGACAGCUUUCUUCUUCUUGCUUCUUUCUUAGGUAAUUUGAAAAGAACAAUUUGUGUACAUUGCAUCUGAGUCUUAUUCCAACUUCAUUCAAUUUUUUUUAUAACAAAUACUAGAAAGGUGGACCACCAACUCAGAGCAGCCAUGGAAGCAUAUCUUUAGGCAACAUUAAAAAACUAAAAAAAUUGAAAGCGAAAAGAAUGGCAAGGAAGAAGAACCAUUACUGGGGAGGUUGAAUGAGCAACGGAAAUAGUGCAAAUAUGUUAAAAAUAAAUGUUCAAAUGGAAAUUAAUCUUAAACUAAAAUUCAUAGAAUCCAAAGAAAAAGAAACAGAGAAAGUUAUACCUUGAUGGAGAACCACUCUUGAGCCAUGAGCGGAUUACUAUCAUGGGGUUUGGGAUUUGUGGAAAAAUAAGCAGCAGGUGACCUUGGUUCUAUACUGAACUUCCUGCAAAAUGGUAGCCAAUGUUUUGAGAAGCAAGAGGCCUCUAACAAGGCAUAGAAGGUCAGGUCUGAGCCUCCAUCAUCAGAGAGAUAGGCGCAUAAUUUUUGUGAUGGAUAAUUAUAAGCUAUUGAUUUUCAUGCAACGAUUCUUAGUGAAAAAUUAGAAAAAAAUGAAAAGAAAACACACAGAUUUAACAUGGUUCAGAAGAUUGCCUAUGUCCAUUAGAACACGGAAGAAGAUUUUCACUAUAUUUCAAUUAGGAUUACAUAAACGGUAUUUAUAUUAACUCUCAGGUAUUGAAAUUCUAAAAUACCUUUGAACUGUACUGCGAAAUAUAAGCUUAAAUGACAAAUGUUGUGGCUUUGCUCCAGUAUUGACCCAUUUUUUUCCAUGUCUUUCACUCAAUAUAAGCCACAUAUUACAACAUAAGCCACGAAUGAUAAAACAGUGUUGAUGACCAUGAUGGGCGGCUCUAUUAUUGGUACUGCAGUGCACACAAAUAUGUCUAUGCCUGGAAAAGCGUUCUCGUAUCUGCAAUUAAGUUUCACAAUAGGCAAUUAGCAAGUGAAGAUGGAGGCAAGAAAGGGGAGAGGAAGAGAGAAAAGAUCACCUCUGAGAGAGCCUGUCUUUGAAGGUGUAGCGAUAGCUGGGGUUCCAUCUAACGAAUUGAGUGAUGAACCAGUACAAACUGAACCACAAUUCAGCUAAAGAUAAACCCAUCCAAGCCCAUCUUCUCAGCAGUUGUCCAUCUGCAGCUGGGAAGUGAACCACCCUAUAAAUACAGAUAAAAGUGAUGCCCACCAAAACUGAUGCUGCAUAGCAUCUGAAUAGUAUACGACCCCUAGCAGCUUUUGUUUCAAAGAGAGGAAGAUAGCCAUCUUUGCCCGUUGCUUCUGUCUUUCUCUGACCACCAUGUGAUCAGCUUAUAUAAAUAGUUUGGUUUGCAUUUUUCAUUUUAUUGUUGUUAUGGUCAAAACUUUACUUUGCCGCUUUAGAUGGCAUCAAAGAAAGGAGUAAAAACAAAUUAUCCCAUCUAAGCCCACCCAUCUCUAAAUUGCUUUCCUCUUGUAAAUGAACCGAGCACAAAUAGAACAAGUACCCAUAAAGGUUGAAACUGGAUAAACUGUGAAACAAGAUUUGACCCUUUUCAGCCCUUGUUUCAAACAGAGGAUGAGAAACAUCUCUCUAGCUCUCAUGCUCUCAUACUCUCCCUCUGCUGUCUCAUGCAUUACCUUAUAUAACCUGCCCACUGUUUCCUUUAAAUUCAAGAAUGUUUCUAACAAGGAGACAAGGGAUAUUCAAGGUUUAAGCAUCCUCUGCAUGCACAAACAGAGUUCAUGUGCUCAUUCUUUUUUCCUUAAAAAUUUGCAAUUUCUGGACUCUCUGGUGACACCCUGAUGAACAGGGGUUUAAGCAAGAGGCUUGUAACAAAUUAAAAUGGGUACAUGAUUAAUAUCGAAGCCUUUAUACCUGGAGAAACAUAUACUAUCCAUUAUUGAAAAUUGAAACUGCAUCAGUUAUACAUAUAUAACAGUUCUUCAGAGCCUUAUAUAAUACAUAUGAAGUUGUGGCAAAGAGACUUUGCUUACUGAUACAGUAAACUAAUACAAGGCUAAUGAACAGGCCAACAGCGCUAAAGAAACUGAUUUGUAUGUGACUGAUGUUGGCAUGGUGCCCUUGUCCUUGCGGAAAAAGAGCCCUUGGUAUACGGGCAGGUUGAUGAGAACAAGAACCCCACAUAAGAUAAUCUGCAGAGCCAAUGACUCCAAAGGUUUAAUUUGAAUAUCCACAACCACCCUCUUUACACCACAAACAAAACUGAACAGAUUGAGCAAUGCAAGUGUAGCUGAAAUGGUAAACAUUGGUGAAGGAGAACCAAACUCCAUGAUUUCUUGUUCGUAUCUUUGAGACACAUCUUCAUCACACACCUUUGCAGUGACAGCAAAAGUGGUCUCAGCAAAGCCUAGUAUCCUCAAGAUUGUAUCAAGGAAGCCAAAGAAGUAGGAAGUUGUCCUUCUGAACAUCCAUAUUCUUUGAUCAUUCCACCAACCUUGGAUUGUGCCACCAUACCAAUGAAACUCACCUAAGCUGUAUGCAUGCUUGGCAAUAAUGACAUAGGCAAAGGGAAGGACCCACAGGCUCCAUAUCUGAAAAAGUAACAUAAUUCAUUGCCGGGAACCAAAUAGCAUUUCAAUUGUUUGGAUACAGCAAAGUGUCAUGUCAGGACUUCUCUUUCUAAAAUGGAAGAAGAAAAGCACAUAGUUCUUUUCGAAGUAUUUAGGAAAAUCUAUCAUGUUGAGAAACUAAAUUUAUUGUGAAUAAUUUGAGAAAUUUUGCUAGCUAGUGAUCAUACAUUAUAGAACAAUGUUGCCUGUGCUUGACAGUAAGUAUUUUGCAGUUCUGUACUACUCAAAAGUUUUUAAGUUUGGAAGUAUUUGUUUAAAUGAUGUAAUGUUCAUACCUCUGGAAACAAGGAGAUGCCUCCAAGGAGACAAAGGGAUGGGACAGCAACAUAGCAUAGCAUAGCCAAGGAGUAUGCAGCCCACAGAUUAUAGAUAGAGUAUGCGAGUUGAAGUUUCAGAGGAACCUUUUUGUGUCCAUAUAUAAAUGGACAGUGUCUCGAGAGAAACAUCUGAAGGUGGCCUUCAGACCAUCUCUUGUGUUGUACUAGUGACUGCAACAGUGUUGUGGGCGCAACACCCAAGAAGCCCUUCCUUUCUGGAUUGACAUAGACGGAUCUCCAACCUCUACAUUGUAUUGAGAAUCCUGUGAUAAUGUCUUCCACUGCACAAUCAUACUUCACGCCCAUCUGCAAUUCAACAUAAAGAUUAAGUUUUUUAGCUUAAGAAAAGGAAAAAGCUUUACAGGCAGGAAAUUCAUGAGACAGAGACAGAAGAACCUCCUUUCCCCAUUGACUGUUCUCUUCGUAGGUACAACUUGCAAGGACCUUACAUGAUUCUUCUAGUACACUAGCACUUUCUCUUCCUCUUCUGCCAUUCUCUUUCUUCCAUUCUCUCUCACAUUCCUUGUCAUAUUUCAUUCCACACAGUGCCACUCUCCUAUGAAAGCACCCGGUACCAAUAUAGAAAGGUCCUCCAUUAGAAUCAAGGCCUGGAAAUUCCACCUUUUUCACCAGUCAUGCCAAAAGCCAACAAUAAAAUCAUUAGGAAGUCAUUGCUAAUGCCUACCUCCUCUAGGCCAAGCAGUAAGGAAUAAAUAAUUCUUUCAAAUCUUGCCUACCUCAAUAAUCACCCUAAAGCAGUUGCCAUAUAAGUCAUUCCUAGUAAGAUUAUCGUAGCACUGUGGAAACUGGACAUAAGCAAUUUCAUGGCCCUUCUCUUCAUCCAUGAAAAAACACACAGCAUCUCUCACUGAUUCUGAAUUGUUGGAGUACAUGUCACAGUCCACAUUAAGAAUAAUCGAGCCAUUGCUUAUCUUUGAUGACACCCUUAUCUGUUCAACAAAAUCAGAGUCACCUACAUUAAGAUAAUUGGCAGUGGUUCACUGUAGGAAAGCUGAAGUCAUUUAAGCUUACGAGUGCAUUCAUGGCUCCAGCUUUAAAAUUGUGAUGGUAUUGGGGUCUCUUCUCACGGGACAAGUAUACUAGAGUUGGCAAAGGUUGUCCUUCAGAGUCCACAGCCUUGGGGUCUCUCCCAUCAAUCACUAUCUGUUACUUUAUAUAAUAUUAGCAAAAGAUGAAUCAAAGAUAAAUAUGAAGAAAAACUUAGUAGAGAUGUAUUGAUUUUCAAGAAGAAAUCUCUUGGAAUAGGAAAAAAUACACAAAUUAGUAGAAUAACUACUUGAACAAUGGACUGAUGGUCAUGCCGUGUUGAAGCACUGUUCCACUCCAGAAAUCCCUUGUCCUCCUUUCUUAUUUCUUCUGAAAUCCUGCCCAGUCUAGUGGUGGUUUCAAUUCUAUUCUUCAUUUCUUCAUACAAUUCCUAUAAUGAGAAAAGGAAUAGAAGUUCUAAAUCAUAUGUAGAAAAACUCUAAAAAGAUUUGCCUAGUAUGGGAGUCACACAUACUCAUUAUAACAUGGAAAGAGAGAAAAAUUCAAGUACCAUACCACAUACCAUUACACACUCUGAUGAACAUUUUCUUUGUUCUGCUAAGAGUUUAAGUUCCUAGGAUUUGGACUUUUAUUUAUUUAUUUGUGGGCAUACAUGUGGGCUCAACAAGUCGGGAAAAUAAAUAUGUAUUGAGGUUUGAAUACAUGAUCUCCCACCCAGCCUGCUUUAUCAAUUUUACUGAAAACUUAACCUUGCAGAAUUUGCACCCAUAAUAUAUAUUAUACUCUUCCACACUCAUCAUUAUUUAUGAUCUCUAAAUUGUUUGCAGGAUUUGGAUCUAUAAUAUAUGUUAUACUCUUCCACUCUUCAUCAAUUAUGAUCUAUAAAUUGCUUGUACGAUUUGGACCCAUAAUAUGUCUUGUACUCUUAUCAUAUUCCUCAAUUCUGAUCCCUCAUAGAAUUUAUUUGAGUGGUCAGAAUGCAAGUCAAAUCUUCUAAAAAAUUUAAAAAUCUUAGCAUUCUAUAUAUGAUCCUCCCAAAAAAAAUAAAAAUGAAUAAAUAAAUAAAUAAAAACACUUCUGAAGAACACUACCGAGCACACACUCAUUCAUUCAUUAUCUUCCCUGCAAAACUUUCCGGAAAAGAUGCAACAAUUUUGAAGUGGGUCAGACUGAUGAUGCACAGCGGUCGACAUUAAUGUUGGGGAUCUUUCGUAUCUUAAAUAGUUACUCAUUAAAAGGACAGCAUCCUUCUUACUGUCUGAGGCUCUCUUCCAGCUUCGAUUAUUUCCUUUAACAAUUGGGUCUUUGGAAUGAAGUCAGAGCAGCCUUGGAAGUAGUUGCAGCUUGCAACUAUAUGUUGACAAUUGAUCUUAAACCAAAAUUCAUAGAAUCCAAGGAGAAAAAAACAGAGAAAGUUGUACCUUGAUGGACAACCACUCCUGAGCCAUGAGAGGAUUGCUAUCAGGGGGUUCAGAAGUUGUGGAAAAAUAAGCAGCAGGUGAUCUUGGUUCUAUACUGAACUUCCUACAAAAUGGUAGCCAAUGUUUUGAGAAGCGAGAGGCCUCCAACAAAGCAUAGAAGGUCAGGUCUGAGCCUCCAUCAUCAGAGAGAUAGACGCUUAGGUUCUGUGAUGGGUAAUUGUAAGCCAUGACUGAUAAAACAGUGUUGAUGACCAUGAUGGGUGGCUCUAUUCUUGGAUCUGCAGUGCACACAAAUAUGUCUAUGCCCGGCAAAACCUCCUCAUAUCUGCAAUGAAAUUUCAGAAUGAGCCAUUAGCAGGUAAAGAUAGGAGCAAGAAGAGGGAGAGAGAUUGAAAAAACCUCUGAGAGAGCCUGUCUUUGAAGGUGUAACGAUAGAUGGGGCUCCAUCUAACAAGCUGAGUGAGAAACCAGUAGAAACUGAACAACAACUCAGAUAGAAACAAUCCCAUCCAAGCCCAUCUUCUUAGCACUUGUGCGCCUGCAGGUGGGAAGUGAACCACCCUGUAAACCCAGAUAAAAAUAAUACCCACAAACAUUGAUGCUGCAUAGCAUCUGAAUAGGAUACGACCCUUUGCAACCUUGGUUUCAAAGAGAGGAAGAUAGCCAUCUCUGCCCAUUUCUACACUGCCUUUC
rnacentral:lncRNA from 1 species